GAGCGGGUUAAUAAGGGCGUAUGGUGGAUGCCUAGGGUCUUAAAAGCGAGGAAGGACGUAGCGUGACUGCGAUAAGCGUCGGGGAGGUGUCGAGCAACCUUUGAUCCGGCGAUUUCCGAAUGAGGAAACUCAAUUCGAGUAAUGUCGAAUUACUUUGCGAGUAACUUCGUAAAGAGUACACCCAGGGAAGUGAAACAUCUCAGUACCUGGAGGAAAAGAAAACAAUUUCAAUUUUUAAUUUUGUCUGCAAGAUGUAAGACAGAAUUAGAAAUUGAUCAAUUCCCUAAGUAGCGGCGAGCGAAAGGGGAUCAGCCCAAACCUCGUUCUACUAUUUAGAAUUUAUUCUUAGUAGUAGGACGGGGGGUAGUAAGAAAUAGACUUUCCGGAGCGUAUAGCUAUGUUCAGGAAGGGAGUCAAUAAAACUAUAAGUUGUUUAAGGGAACGGCCCUGGAAAGGCCGGCCAAAGAGGGUAAUAGCCCCGUACUUGAAAAACCUUAUAUGCUCCUUGUCUAUUAUCUUGAGUACUUCGAGAACAAGAUGAGCUCGGAGGAAACAGGGAGAACUACUCUCCUAAGGCUAAAUAUUUUAAGACACCGAUAGUGAACUAGUACCGUGAGGGAAAGGUGAAAAGAAGCCCGAUGAGGGCAGUGAAAUAGUACCUGAAACCAUAUGUCUACAAGGAGUCGAAAAGGUCCCGCGCAAGCGGUGUACCUUAACGGCGUGCCUAUUGAAGAAUGAGCCAACGAGUUAUUGUGCAUUGCUAGUCUAAUCCCGUUCGCGGGAGGAGGCA
rnacentral:ncRNA from 1 species